rnacentral:rRNA from 1 species
GACGAACGCUGGCGGCGUGCUUAACACAUGCAAGUCGAGCGAGAAGACGUAGCAAUACGUUUGUAAAGCGGCGAACGGGUGAGGAAUACAUGGGUAACCUACCCUCGAGUGGGGAAUAACUAGCCGAAAGGUUAGCUAAUACCGCGUACGCUUCUUGGACUUCGGUUCAGGGAGGAAAGCGAUACCGUGGGUAUCGCGCUCUUGGAUGGGCUCAUGUCCUAUCAGCUUGUUGGUGAGGAACGGCUCACCAAGGCUUCGACGGGUAGCUGGUCUGAGAGGACGAUCAGCCACACUGGCACUGCGACACGGGCCAGACUCCUACGGGAGGCAGCAGUAAGGAAUAUUGCGCAAUGGGCGAAAGCCUGACGCAGCGACGCCGCGUGGGGGA